GUGACUUCGGAAAUUGGACUAGAGAAAAAUAUAGAAAUUGUUUCCAUAUAAUGGGCCAAUUCGUUAAUGAUCUUAGAUUGAGUGACACUGAAAGGAAAAGAAGUUUGGAAGAACUCAAAACAUGGGUAGCAAAUGGUCAGAAUUAUUUUCUAAGGGAAACAAGACUUGGUGUUGAGAUAGCAGAUGAAAUACGUCAACAGACUCAUGUUCUAUUAGAAUAUGUACAACAUGGCUUGACCGAAACAGACAUUGAAAUUAUUAAAGUGAAAGAAGAAUUACAAUAUUUAGAAAACGGUUUAUAGGGAAGAAUAAGAAACUUAGAAACGAAAACUAAGGAACACGAUGAAAUACUACGU